rnacentral:rRNA from 1 species
AUGCGGGGCUUUAACGAUACUUGGUGCAGAUGGAUUGAACAGAUACUGCAUAAUGGGACAGUUAGCAUCAAGCUUAAUGGUAGUGUUGGGCCGCAUUUUCAAAGCAAAAAAGGGGUGAGGCAGGGGGACCCACACUCUCCUUUCCUAUUCAAUCUAGCCGUUGAAUGCCUCACCAAAAUGAUCAAAAAUGCCCAAAAAAACAAACUUAUUGUAGGUUUGGCUGCUGACCUUAUUCCUAAUGGGGUGGCGGUCCUGCAAUAUGCGGAUGAUACUAUCAUUUGCAUUGAA